UUGAAGGUUAGGUUUUCCUCAUGCAUAUUCUACUUGUGGCAUUCAAGCUAGAACAUAUAUCAAACAUGCAAUCCAUUUGUGGCAUUCAGAUAAAAUAUAAACAUGCAUGACUCAUUACACUUUAUGAAAACCCUUUGAAAAACCAUGCAACCCCCACGACGUGACAUUCGCCCUAGGUGAAUUUACAACUAUCAAUCACAAGAAGCAAUACUCAAUUCCCCGGUGGCAUUCCGAUCGAAUUGCAUCCAAUUACUUAUCUAAACAUCCUAAUGGUCGCGAAUCAUUAAGACACAAAGACAGUUUAAAGCACAGUGAUUAAUAAUUCAAAAUAUGCAUGCAUAAUAUCAUAAGCAAUUAAAUAAAAAACUACAUAUUCAUGCUAAGGAUCAAGGUUUCACCUUAGCAAAAGAAAAUUAGCUACGCAUACUCAUAAUUAAAAUCAACAUAAUUAUAUUAAACUAUGAAAAGAAUGAAAACACCUUAAAGUAUAAUUCUUGAAAUCUCUAAGCUUUUUCCAAAGUCUUCUCCCAAAAGUUGAAUACGUUCCCCCUGAAACCCUAGGUCUGCCAAAAGGCUUAUUUAUACUACUCUCAAUAAAAUCCUCCUAGUAAAAGGUCUUAGAAUAAAACUAGGAAACCUAAUAACUUAGAAUAAAAUAGGAAACAUAAUCCUAAAUUAACUUGGUAAAUUCGCCUAAAAAUAUGCACAGCCACGUUUUGUACCCAAAUCAGCUCCAAAACUGGCCCAAACUAGCUGGACGUAAGGCUUGGACUAUUCUGAACACUCCUCCAGAAGGCCACGAACCCAUCUGAGGUCGUCUUGGGCUCCAAAAACGCAUUUUAAGCCCAGAAACGUUAAUUUCCAGCAACGCGCACUACUUCUUCAUUAAAUUGCCAGAAAAUAACCGCUUGGUAAAAAUUGCUGAAAUUUUGACACGAACAAGCUAAGGAACACACGAACAUCCUCCAAUUUGAAUCACUCCAAAAUUCAUCUGUUUGGUCAUGUUUUUCUCGAGAGGAAGUCAAAUGUCCUAUAUUGAAAAUAUAAAACAAAGUAUCAAAAUUCUUCCAAAAUAAUUACCAAAUUAAUAUUAAGAAUAGGGUAAAAUAUAUAAUAUAAUAUUGACUCAUCAAAAUACCCCCAAACUUAGCGUUUUGCUUGUCCUCAAGCAAAACAAAACUCAAACACAAAAAUAAAAACUGACAAACCAAAGACUUAACUAAAACUAAAUGACAACAAUUUUCACCUACAAAGUUGCAAUCCAUAAAAAACGUUAAAAAUUAGAACAUCUUUUCAAAAGUUCCAGCUAAUCCCACUACAGAGUCUAAGCCAUUUAGAAUCAAUUACAAACGAAUUCACAAACUUCCUUUGGUGUAAAGUGAAUCAACAUAGUUAAGGAGACUCGACUAAAACUCUUACCUCUUGUCCUUUUAUUCAACACUUCACACAACUUGACUUGAGACAUAACUAUCACUUUUUUUUUUCCUUUCUUCUUUUCGAUUUUUUUUUUCAGUAACAGUAGUGAUCGUGCAAUGUCAGUUCACUUAAGCUUUCUAUCCAACCCAUGUAGCGAGCUUUAGGUCAAUGACUCCCAAACCACGAGGGCUUUAGGGCACUAGGUGUAGAACACCCCUAAGGACUUAUUAACCCGAGCUGAAAAGGCUACAAAACCAACUAACCACCCUGCCCCAUGCCAAAACUCUACCGUUUGACGAGAGAAUCACUGCUGAUUAGGCAGAACUGGCCCGGUUACUAAGCAAAGCCUCGGGUGGAACAAUUAUUACUUUAUUCAUAACAAUAACUACUUAGAACAAAAAUUAAAAUCAAACUUAGACUUAAAGUAAGUGUUUCAAUCUCACUCCCCAUAAACCAUGUUGAUGUGAAUGUGCAAAGGUUUAAAGUAUAACCCAUGAAUUAGUGUCUAAUCAACGAUAAAUAGAAAAGACUCUACUAUGAGAUUAAUCUUCACCAUGUCCAUUUGUUCUAACAUUUAAAAGAAUCUAUGGAUAUUAAGUUAAAAAAAAUGAAAAUUGUUAACUCGACUCAAAAAUUAAAAUCUAAAAUCUCUAUUUCCCACCCCCAAACUUAUUUCACACUUUGUCCUCAAGGUGUGGAAAACAAAAAGGAGAGAAAAUAGACCGAAGAAAACCUAACUAAACGAAACCUGACUAAAUGAAAUAAAGAAAAUAAGAAAACAAAAAGAAAAGAAAAAUAAAAAUAAAAACAGAAAUAAAUACAAGAAAGAAGAGCACCUGGAUUUUAAAAAAUGUGGACUUGGUACUGCGCAUGGGCCCUGGUGGGCAGAACCCAACCCCCUAACUUGUCCAUUAAGGGUGCGUUUGUUGCGCCGGACUGUCUCGGACUGGACUAGCUGCCGGGACUAAGCUGGACUGGCUUAGACUGGACUAAGCUGGACUAACUUAGUGAAGCGUUUGGUGCAGUCUCGGACUAAGAAGCAGGAUAAGAAAAACAGUACUGUUCACCAGAUUUGUGUUUGCUUAGACUAGGACUACAAAUUUUUGCCAUUGUGUAAUAGAGUAAAGCUACAAAUCUCAUGAUAUGGGUUAAUUGGAGCAUAUUUUUACCAUGUAUAUUAUGAAUCUUAAAAAAAAUUGACAAUUGUUUUGUUUCUAUUACCUGCUAAUAGAAUUGGGUUUAAUUUGCAAAUGUAGCUUGAUUUAAACUCUAUCACCCAACAGAAGAAAAAUAAUAGUGGCCAAUACAUGCAACUUCAACAAAUACAAGUACAUAAGAUCUCCAUAAUUUAGAAAAUCCUAGUUAACAUUAGUUAACAUUAGCCAAAAUAGAUCUCCAUAAUUUACAAAAUGGCUAGUUAACAUAAGCCAAAAUACUAGUGCAAAGCUAAGUUAUAAGUCAUAACAUAAGAUUGUAUGAUUAAUAAAAUACAUCCAUGUUAACGUUAAUAAAAUACAUCCAUGUUAACAUUAGCCAAAAUCCUCAUCCGCUUGCGUUGUCGCUUAAAAGCCUUUGGACGAACACUUUCUUGAGUUCCGGUUUGAUUGCCCUGAACACUCCCACAUUUUUUGGUUUAUCCAAAAUAAGAGACAAUGCAUCAAUUUGAUCCAUAGGAGAGAGACCCAUUGCAUCAAGUUCAUUAGCUAUGUUAGUAUGAUCUGCAGUACCUUGAACUAAAGCUUCAGUUACCAUUUGCAUCCUCUUCCCACUUUCAACAUAAAAACCUUUUAGUCCACUGAUAAUUGCCUCGGUUCCAUCACUUGAACUUCCCACAGCUCUUUUCCUCUUUCUUUGGCUAUUUUCAGAUGGUGUGCUUUGUUGGCUUUGUUGGUUCAUUGAAGAAACAAAAUUAUCACCUCCAAUAUCACUUUCACCAACAUGAUCAUGACUUUGUUCCUCCACCAUUUGAGCAGGGGUUUCGGCUACAUUACCCGUAGCCCGAUCUUUUCCAAAUAUAUAAGCAAAUCUAUCAAACAGUGGAAAAGGUUUGCUUCUCCAUCCAUCGGCUUCUUUAUUUCUCUAAGAUUAUAUCAACAUAGCAAAACAAACUAAAAUUUAGCAUGCGUAACAAAUUAUAGCAGCAAGAAUAUAUAACUAAUGCAUAAAUAAAAUAGGAUAUGAACCUGCACAUAAGUUUGCCAUGCGUCAUCACUGUCAACUUCAACGCACUUUUUGACAUAAUUCCAUGCAAAUCCACUUGUGUUUAUCAUGUCAACGACCAUACUAUAUGUUUUUUUUCCAUUUCUUCAACUUGGACUCAAUAUGUGGAUUUGCCUUUAUAUUUGAAUGAGGACAUAAAACAUUGACAGCUUUUGCUAUUUCAACCAAAGUACCUUGUUUUUGAAAGCACCGGUGUCACACCGUUGCUUCCGAGCAACAAAAUCCUCAAGAACUCCGAGUAAUACUUCUUCCUCAAAUGCUUCCCAUUUACGCCUUCUUCCUUUUGGCUCUUGAGUAGCAUUCAAAAAAAUUUUCGUUAUCCAUACCUAAACAAAAAAUAUUUUAAUGAAGGAAAAUACCAUACAAAUAAUCAAUUUGCAUAAUAUCCAAUCAACUUGCAUAAUAUCCAAUCAACUUGCAUAAUAUCCAAUUAAUUUGCAUACCAUCCAAUCAUUGUGCUAAUAUCUAACAAAUGCAGAUGAUAAAAAGGAAUACUAAAAUAAAAUGUUAUCAUUAACACAUAUAGCUAGUUCGGUUGCUGGUUCCUAAUUGCUCUCCACUCAUUAUACAUUUCCUGAGCCAUAUCAUUCCUCAUUGCAGUCCACUGGUCCGAUGUUUGAACACUACCAACAUAUUCACCUUCUUCUAUAUUUUGUCCAUCUUCUAUUAUUGGCAAAUUCUCCAUUGGAUCUACAGACAUCUCUUGCCUAAUAAGAUUGUGUAGUAGGCAACAAGCGGUAAUUAUUCAACCUUGUGUCCUUAUCUGAUAGAAAGAUGGACUCCUUAGUAUCGACCACCUUCCUUUUAGCAAGCCAAAACAGCGUUCAAUUACAUUCCUUGCCUUAGAAUGCUUCAUGUUAAAAUAUUCUUCCUUAUUAGAAGGUGUUCGUCCCUCCCAUUCAGAUAAAUGAUAAGGUAUUCCUCUAUAGGGUGCAAGGAAUCCUUCACCAUUUGUAUAACCACCAUCUACAAGGUAAUAACAACCUAAUGAAAAAAAAAAACAGACCUUAUUAGUGUUUUGUAGUUGACAAACAGAACUAAACCUAACUUACAAAGUUGAGACUAAGUAAUAGUCUUACCCGCUGGUACCUUAAAACCAUUAGGCCUACUAAUUGCAUCAUGUAGCACUUUAGAGUCUGAUGCGGAACCCUCCCACCCCGGAAACACAUAUAUGAACUGCAUAUCUCCUGAACACACACCUAACACAUUAGUUGCGACUCAACCCUUUCUUGUUCGGUAUCUUGGUUUGUCAAUUUCAGGUACAUGCACAUCAAUGUGUGUUCCAUCCAAUGCUCCCAAGCAAUUCUUAAAAAUAAAAAAUAAAAAAGUUUUUGUUAAUUUAUACAAAGGGAAUGAAGAGUUAAAGCUUAGGGAAAAUGACAAAAAUUUCUCAUCAUACCUUAAAACAUCGCCACCUAGGAUCUGUAGAAUCAAUAGGCACAGGCUGGGGGACUUUUAGUAGGAUACCUUGUAAUCGCAAAAUUCCUUGCAAUACGCUAUUGAAAUACCGACUUAUAGUCUCUCCCGACCUAUAAAAUCUACCGCCAACACUACGAUUCUUAGUAUAAUGUGCUAAUAUUUGUAAAGUCAUACACACCUGUUCCUCUACAGACACCAAACCAUCAGUUUUUACCCUCCCAUCUUGACGAAGUAAGUCGCAUAAUAUGCCAAAAGUCCUUCUAUCCAUUCUCAAUUCGUUGACACAUUCAGUAUCAGUAUUCCCUAUUAUACCAUUCAGAUAACACAAACUAAUCUCUCGUCUAAUAAGUGAACGGUUAGUCAAUGUGGGUUGUUCAACAUGUCUCUGUUUGCCACGUAGUAUCAUCACCACAAGAAUCGUACAAAUACAAAUUGUCUCCAAAUAAGACAUCUCUAACAAUAAGAUCAAUAAAAGCUUCCUUCGAUCCAUAUCUAUCCAAACAAAAAAAAAAACAAUAGUAUGAGGAUUGCUAUCAUUCCUAGGCAUUGCAUGUGAAGAGGGAAAUUAAAGGACACCUGUAAUGCAGUAGCCUUGGCCUUAGCCUUGGCCUUAGCCUUCUGUUUAUGCUCCUCUUCUCUGCAACAAACAACCACACAAUUCAGCAUCAACCCCACACCAUACAAAACAUUCACAUUGUAAUAUCAUGGUUAUAAACCAAGUACAUACACACACACUCAUGGACAAAUGUGCAAAAUACACAUACAUACUCACACUCACACUCACACUAACACACACACACAGACAUACACACACACUGCACACACACUGCACACUGCAUACAUACUGCAUACAUACACACACACACACUGCACACACACACACACUGCAUACAUACAUACACACACACUGCACACACACACUGCAUACACACACACACUGCACACACACUCACACUCACACUUACACUCACACUCACACACACUCACACUCACACUUACACUCACACUAACACACUGCACAGUCACACACACACACACACGGGGACAGAGUGCAACACACUCUUACCCUCACACACACACUCUGUUUUUAUACUCACACACACACACACGUACACACACACACACACACUGUAUACACACACACUGCACACACACUGCACACUGCAUACAUACUGCAUACAUACACACACACACACACUGCACACACACACACAUUGCAUACAUACAUACACACACACUGCAUACACACACUGCAUACAUACUCAUACUCAUACACACACUGCACACACUGCAUACAUACAUACUCAUACUUAUACACACACUGCACACACACACACUGCAUACAUACACUACACACACACACACUGCAUACAUACACUACACACACACACACACACACACACACUGCAUACAUACCGCAUACAUACACACACACACACUGCAUACACACUCACACACACACUGCAUACAUACUCAUACUCAUACACACACUACACACACUGCAUACAUACAUACUCAUACUCAUACACACACUGCACACACACACACACUGCAUACAUACACUACACACACACACACUGCAUACAUACUCAUACACACACUGCACACACACACACACUGCAUACAUACCGCAUACAUACACACACACACACACUGCAUACACACUCACACACACACUGCAUACACACACACACUGCACACACACUGCACACUGCAUACAUACACACACUGCAUACAUACUGCAUACAUACACAUACACACACACUGCACAUACACACACACACUGCAUACACACACACACUGCACACACACAGUGCAUACACACACACACUGCAUAUACAUACACACUGCAAACACAGUACAUACAUACACACACUAUAUACACUACACACACUACAUACACUACACACACACACUGCAUACAUACACACUGCAAACACAGUACAUACAUACGCACACUACAUACAUUACACACACACACUGCAUACACUACACACACACCUUGCAAGUACACACACACUGCAUACACCCUGCAUACAUACACACUGCAAACACACUACACACACACACUGCAUACAUACACACUGCAAACACUACACAUAUACACACAUUACAUACACUACACACACACUACAUACACGACACACACACACUGCAUACAUACACACUGCAAACACAAUACAUACAUACACACACUACAUACACUACACACACACACACUACAUACACUACACACACACACUGCAUACACUACACACACACCCUGCAAGUACACACACACACUGCAUACACCCUGCAUACAUACACACUGCAAACACACUACACACACACACUGCAUACAUACACACUGCAAACACUACACAUAUACACACACUACAUACACUACACACACACUACAUACACUACACACACACACAUUGCAUACAUACACACUGCAAACACAGUACAUACAUACACACACUACAUACACUACACACACACACUGCAUACACUACACACACACCCUGCAAGUACACACACACUGCAUACACCCCGCAUACAUACACACUGCAAACACACUACACACACAUUAUGCAUACAUACACACUGCAAACACUACACAUAUACACACACACUACAUACACUACACACACACUACAUACACUACACACACACACUGCAUACAUACACACUGCAAACACAGUACAUACAUACACACACUACAUACACUACACACACACACUACAUACACUACACACACACCCUUCAAGUACACACACACUGCAUACACCCUGCAUACAUACACACUGCAAACACACUACACACACACACUGCAUACAUACACACUGCAAACACUACACAUAUACACACACUACAUACACUACACACACACACUGCAUACAUACACACUGCAAACACAGUACAUACAUACACACACUACAUACACUACACACACACACUACACUACAUACACUACACACACACACUGCAUACACUACACACACACCCUGCAAGUACACACACACUGCAUACACCCUGCAUACAUACACACUGCAAACACAGUACAUACAUACACACACUACAUACACUACACACACACAGAGACACACACACGCAGACACACACACACAAGCACAAAGUACUCCCAUUGUUGAAACCCCAAUUUUUAAAAAUCGAAAACAACAUGUGGGUAGGACUUCCAAGUUUUACAACAUUGACAUCCUAAAUUCUGAAGUUCCAUCUCAUCUUAUGAAAAGCCCAAAUCCUAAUUUCAAUUUCACCUAAAUAUCAAAACCCUAAUUUAUUCAAGUGCGGAUCUCUAUGAUUCAAAAAUUAUCAAACCCAAAACAAUCAAAUCACAUAAAACUCAGUAAAAUUACCUUCUACAACACAAAUACAUGCAAUUAAUAGAAGAAUCGAAGUUUACCGUACAACUCAGAUGAGGCGAGCAGAUGCAGAGACAGGAAGGCGCUCAGAGGAGGGUGAGGAGGAAGAAGAUGAGAGAGCACGGCAACGAAAAUGAGAGGGAACGUAGAGAUGAGGACGAGGGAAGACAGGAGGAAGGGACGAAGGGACGAAGGGAAGGCAGAAACUCUCUCGGUUUGCUCUGGCUUACAAAUCCGCUGGGUUUUGGGGUUGCUUGCGAAGACCACCUAAGGAGGUCUUUAGUCCGACCGAGUCCGGCUUAAGCUCAUUAAAGCUAAUCUGGUUGCACACCAAACACAGGACUAUAGUCAUGUCCAGUCCAAGCCUUACUAAUCUUGUCAAACAAACGUGCCCUAAGAACAUUGGAUUCUCCUUUGCCGAUGUACACUUCACACGUGCACUAGUGUGUGGCAACAUUGGAUGCCCCCUUUCCUUAUCUGCAUUGAACCUGGAACCAAGAGCCAAACGGCUCUUUUCUCUCCUUGAGCCGAGAGCCAACAGCUUUCUCUCAGUAUUAUUUGAAAGUGACCCCCUCGCUCUUUAUUUCAAAACCACCCUGGCUUUAUCUCUCUAAAGAAAAUACUCUGCAUUUAUCUACAAAUGAACCCUAGCCACUCCUCCAUUCUCAUUUCAACAUCAAUGUGGUCCUGUGCUCUCUCAAAAGAGGAAAGCCAUCCCCAUAACCCUCUCAACCGCACACAACCUAACCUUCAUCCUUGAGCCUCUUCGCCAUUUCCUCCAUUGCUCUCUGUUCGUUCAAGGGCGUCAUCAUCCUCUCGGGAACAACACCCCAAAAGUCACAAUUCCAUGGCUAAACAUUAUGGAUGCCACCAUUCUGUAGGUAAAACACAAGCACCCCCAAACUUCGGUUCUGAUUUAAUUUCUAAGUUCCAUUGCUGUCAUUUGUGAUUGGGACCAAAAGACGAAAGAAGCUAACAUUCUUGCAUGUAUAGAGUUAAAAUGUGUGUAAACUGCUCACAGAUUCGUCGCCUGAAAAGUAGAAACAGAAACAAAUCGUGUCAAACACACAGAUCCGAGCAUAAGGAAGGUAAAAACUCAUGUCGUGAAAUGUUCAACUCUGAAUGGCUUAGAAUGGUUCAAUGUCACGGUAGAGCUCAAAUGUCCAUUUCUCUGUGCAUGCAGGUGGCUUGGAACGAGUGGAAAUCCGAGACGAAGAAUGCUCAAGUUGCAGAUCGAGCGAGUCAAAAAGGAAAGAAUACCCGUCAAGCUCUUGUAACUACAACAAGUAUAAAACUCAUCCCUCAGUUUGAUUGUACUCAGCAUGAAUGGCUUCAACGCAUUUUUCCUGCGAUUUCUGGGAUCUUUCUAAAACUGAUAACUAGGUCUUGUAAUUGUGAAGAAAAAUAAAUAAAACUGGGAUCUAAGAUGUUAAUGAAGAAGAUGGAUCUUAAACACAACUGGUCCCAAUAAUAAAAGUGAAUGAUAACCUAUAUUACCCUGAACAUAUAUAUGGACCAUUUGGACUUGAACCGUACUGAGGACAGAGAAAGAACUACCGCCAAACUUGAAUAAUGGCAUCAGUUACCACUAGAACGCAUAUGCCUGAUUGUUUUGUUGCAGGAAAAUACCCUAGAUCGGCAAAAGCAGCUUGAGGAGAAAACUCUACACUGAAGAAUAGCUGCGUGGCAGCUUGGCAAAACAGAAAGGUAUACUUCCCAUCCAUGUUAUGUGAAUCACAGAUGCGGUGGAUGUUGAUGUUCUUGUUUGUCUUGUUUGCUGUCUGCAAAAACCCAAGUGAUGAAAUCAGAGAUAGGAUGUAGAAAAUACUAUCGGUAUACUAAAAUAAAACAAGUAAAAGAAUUUUUUUUUUUUUUUUGAUUUUUUUUAUGAAAUGACAACCUAAGAAAUUAAAUGCAGCUUGAAAUUGAAAGUAAAGAAAUAAAAAUGAAAGAAAGUAGAGAAAAACUUACAGAAUUGGGUUGCCUCCCAAGAAGCGCUUUAUUUAAUGUCUAUAGCUAGACGGAACAGAAGCCCAGUGAUUAAGUUGUUGGAUCAUUCAGAGUCAUUGACUUGCAUGCGAUAUCAUAAGGUGAUUCCAAAUAUGGUUUCAACCGAUGAUCGUUAACUUUGAAUGUGUUACCACUUUGCUCAUUAGUAAUGUCAACAUCUCCAUGAGGAUAGAUCUUUGAAACUCGAUAUGGCCCAUUCUAGCGAGACUUGAGUUUUCCUGGGAAUAACCUUAGCAUGGAAUUAAAUAAUAACACUUUCUGCCCUAGCAGAAACUUUUUUCUCAGAAUUUGACUGUCAUGAAAUGCUUUGGUUUUUGUCUUUGUAUAUGCGUGCAUUGUCAUAAGCGUCAUUACGAAUUUCCUCAAGCUCAUUUAGCUGCAGCUUACGUUUUUCCCCUGCUGAAUCGUAAGAAAAAUUCAACUCUUUUAUAGCCCAAUAUGCCUUAUGCUCUAGCUCCAUAGGUAAAUGACAAGCCUUGCCAUACACAAGCCGAAACGGGGACAUCCCAAUCGGUGUUUUAAAAAAUGUUUUGUAGGCCCAAAGUGCAUCAUUUAAUUUCAAACUCCAGUCUUUGUGAGUGGAGCCAAUUGUUUUCUCCAAAAUACGCUUGAUUUCCCUGUUUGAAACUUCAACCUGCUCUGAUGUUUGUGGAUGAUAAGGAGUGGCAACACGAUGCGUUAUCCCAUAUUUUGCAAGCAACACAGCAAACUGUUUAUUAAUAAAAUGCUUUCCUCCAUCACUGAGUAUAACUCACGAGAUUCCAAACCGUAGAAAAAUAACACCUUGGAGGAAUUUCAGAACCACUGAUCCUUGAUUGGUUGGUGUUGCAAUAGCCUCGACCCACUUAGAAACAUACUCAACAGCCACUAAAAUAUAUUGAUUGCCAUGUGAUGAUGGAAAUGGUCCCAUAAAAUCAAUGCCCCAAACAUCAAAUAAUUCAACAACCAGUAUUCCUUGCUAUGGCAUUUCAUUCCGCUUGGACUGAUUGCCUACUCGUUGACACUUAUCACAUGCCUUGCACUAAUUGUUUGCAUCUUUGAAAAUUGAUGGCCAAAACAAUCCACUUUGCAAUAUUUUUUCUGCUGUCCGCUUCGGCCCAAAAUGUCCACCACAUGCAUAGUGAUGGGCAAACUUCAACACACUUUCCUGCUCACUUUCAGGAAUACAGCGCCUUAUAAUCUGAUCUGCACAAUAUUUGUAUAAAUAUGGCUCAUCCCAAAAAUAAUGUUUAACAUCUGCUAAGAACUUCUUUUUCUGCUGAAAUGAAAAAUCAGGAAGUAACACUCCUUUUGCCAAAUAAUUCACAAAAUCAGCAAACCAGGGGGCACUAUUGAGGAUAGCAUAAAGUUGUUCAUCUGGAAAACUUUCAUUCAAUGGAAGUGAAUCUGCUUCUGCAGUAGUUGGAAGAAUUAAUCUGGAUAAAUGGUUAGCCACCACAUUUUCACUACCCUUUUUAUCUUUAAUCUCCAAAUCAAAUUCUUGAAGCAAAAGAACCCAACGAAUUAGCCUAGGCUUAGCAUCUUUUUUAGACAACAAAUAUUUAAGGGCAGCAUGAUCAGUAUAAACAAUAACCUUAGCUCCCACCAAAUAGGAUCGAAACUUCUCUAAAGCAAACACAACUGCCAACAAUUCCUUUUCUGUGCUUGCAUAAUUAAGCUGUGCAUCAUUGAGAGUAUGACUUGCAUAAUAAAUGACAUGGGGAACCUUGUCUUUACGCUGUCCUAAAACUGCCCCAAUGGCAUAAUCUGAAGCAUCACACAUCAACUCAAAUGGUAAGCUCCAAUCUGGGGCUACAAUAAUAGGGGCCGAAGUUAGAAGUGUUUUCAACUUGUUGAAUGCCUCUAAACAAUCUACAUCAAAAUUAAAAUGGCAUCCUUAGCCAAUAAACUACACAAAGGACGACUAAUCUUGGAGAAAUCCUUGAUGAAUCGUCGAUAAAAACCUGCAUGCCCAAGAAAGGAUCUCACGCUCUUAACCGUAGUGGGAGGUCGCAGUUUGGCAAUAACGUCAAUCUUAGCCUUAUCAACUUCAAUGCCCUUGCUGGAAACUAAGUGGCCUAGAACAAUACCUUGCUUAACCAUGAAGUGGCACUUUUCCCAAUUUAACACCAAAUUUGUCUCUUGACAACGUUGUAGGACCAAAGAUAAAUUCUGCAAGCAUUGGUCAAACGAAUCCCUAAAUACUGAGAAAUCAUCCAUAAACACUUCCAUAAUCUGUUCAACUAAACCAGAGAAAAUACUCAUCAUACAACGUUGAAAAGUAGUUGGUGCUUUACAUAACCCAAACGACAUUUGUCUAUAAGCAAAUGUUCCAAAAGGACAAGUAAAAGUUGUUUUCUCCUGAUCUUCUGGUGCAAUUGGAAUCUGAUUGUACCCGGAAUAGCCAUCUAAGAAACAUUAAAAUGCCCGACCCGCUAAUCUCUCCACCAUUUGAUCAGUAAAAGGUAAAGGAAAAUGAUCUUUUUUGGUAGCCGAAUUAGGCUUCCUAUAAUCAACACACAUGCGCCAGCCAGUGGUUAAGCGCGUAGGAACUAGCUCAUUGUUAUCAUUCUUGACUACUGUAAUUCUAGUACGCUUAGGCACAUCCUGUGUAGGACUCACCCAUUGGCUGUCUGAAAUUGGGUAAAUCAUACCUGCGUCAAGAAGUUUCAUUACUUCUGUUCAAACCACUUCCUUCAUGAUUGGGUUAAGGCGCAUCAACUGUGGGUUUUAUGCCUUCUUCCAUCAAAAUUCUGUGCAUACAAAUAGCUGGGCUGAUUCCCUUAAUAUCUGCAAUAGUCCACCCUAAUGUAUUCUGAUAUUUACGCAACACUCUAAGCAAUUUUUCCUCAACAGAAUGUGUUAAAUCUACUGCAAUUAUUACUAGCAGUGUUUGGGCAGCCCCUAAAUAUGCAUAUUUCAAGUGUUCGGGCAAAGGUUUGACCUCCAAUUUUGGUGCUGUAAUUUGGAUGGUUUUAAUGGCUGUUUUGGUUCCCCCAAACUUUCAUAAACAUGUCUCCAUUUAGGCAAAAAUUUAGGCACACUGUCUAGAGCUUGAACAACUUCUAGGAUGUCUUCAUCAUGUGUUUCUGCAUCAAAAUUCCCAUAUAAAACCUGCUGCAAUGGAUCUUUUAUUGAAUGAGUCACAUAAUUUGCAUCAACACACCCAUCCAAAACAUCAACACGCAUACAAUCAAGCUUUUCUGCUAGUUGUUUGGUUGCUUCAAAUAAAUUAAAAACCACUGACUGAUCUUGAACCCUUAGUGUUAAAGUUCUCGAUUCCACAUCAAUUAACGUUCUUGCUGUCGCCAUAAAUGGUCUGCCCAAAAUUAUUGGCGUUUGUAAAUCUUCAUCCAUGUCCAAAACAACAAAAUCUGCUGGCAAAUAGAGAUUGUCAACUUUGAUGAUCAAAUCUUCAAUGAUGCCCCUUGGAUAUGCAACUGACCGAUCAGCUAAUUGUAGGAUAACUGAAGUAGGAUUUAUCUCUCCUUGACCUAGCCGCUGAAAAACAUAAUAGGGCAUUAAAUUAAUACUAGCACCUAAAUCAACUAAAUCACGUUUAAAAUCAGAAUUUCCAAUAGUGCAAGAAAUAGUGAAACUCCCUGGAUCUUUCUUUUUCGGGGGCAGUUUGUGCAGUAAAACUGCACUGCAUUGUUCAGUGAGAAUCACUUUUUCGAAGUCCAUGAGCUUUUUCUUGUGUGUGCAUACAUCCUUAAAAAAUUUGGCAUAAGAUGGAAUCUUCUUGAUAGCAUCCAACAAUGGUAGAUUAAUUUGAACUUUGGCUAAUGUUUGCAUGAAAUCUCUUAGUUGCUGAUCUUUGAGCUUUGGUUGUAACCUUUCGGGAUAGGGAAUAGGAAGAUCAUAAACACGCUCCGGUUUCUGUACAGGGGCAGAUUCUGGGCUGUUCAAAAUCUGUUCAGAAACAGAUUCUACAUCUUUUUCUGCAGUUGCACAAACUGGGUUGUUAAUUUCUGUAACUUUGUCCUUGUUGUCAAUUUGUUCUUUGUCACGAUUGUUGUAACUUUUUCCACUGCAUAGAAUUCUCACUGCAUUGCAAUCUGUUGUACCCCUUGGAUUAGGCACUGUUUGACUAGGAAACUUUCCUUUUUCCCUUUUCUGUAAUAUUACCUGCUAGCUGCCCAAAUUGCCUCUCCAAAUUAGUUAUGGAAGCUUGCAUAUUCUGCAUGUUUUGAUUCAUUCUUUGCUGUAUCUUUUGCAGGUUCUGGUUGCUUUACUCAAUACUGAUGCGAAUGGCGUCUGCCAGUUUGUCAAUUGCAAUUUCCCAAGAAGCUUUGGCUAGUGCAGCAGGUUGCUGGAUUGGUGGUAGGAAUGGUGGUUUAACUUGCUGCUCACCACCCCAUUUUAAAUUUAGGUGAUCUCUCCAACCCGGAUUAUAAAAAUUUGAAUAAACAUCAUUUCUUUGCCUUGGAUAAUUGUUGAAUGCAUUAACUUGUUCUGCAACAAAAUCUGGAUAUGCAUCUCUCUGUGGACAGCCCAUAAAAUCAUGUGUGGGUUGGCUACAAAUUGCACAAGCUGUUGCAGGUUGCUGAAUAGUAACUUGCUGAACUGGAGCUGCCAUUUCUGCAAGAUCAUGUCAAAUUUGCAUCAAAAUUUUCUAUCUUUCUCUCAAUCUUUUCAAUUUGAGCAUAUACAUGUGGAGACCCCAUGGACAUUUCAAAAACGCCCCUAUUUUGUGUUUCAUCCCCUGCCCAUUAUUGAGAUUCAGAUGCCAUGUUGUCAAAUAAUUGAUAGGCUUCCUGUGCAUUUUUAGUUGAAUAUGAACCUCCUGAUGAAGCAUGAACAUGAUUUUUAGUGUUUGAAUUUAAUCCUCUGAAAAAUAUGCCCAUUCGUGUGUCUCCAUCAAUGCCUGCGUGGGGACACUUUCUUAAUAACUCCUCAAAACGCUCUCAUGCCUCGUGAAACUCUUCAUUAGGCUUUUGGGCAAAUGAUAAAAUUUGAGUUCUCAUAUCAAGAGUUUUAGAGGCUGGAUAAUAUUUGUUAAGAAAUUUAUUGCUCAUAUGUGCCCAAGAAGUGAUACUGGCAUAUGGUAGUGUAAGCAACCAUGUUCUUGCCUUGUUCUUCAAUGAAUAAGGAAACAAACGAAGUUUGAUUGAUUCUGCAGUAAACCCCUUCACUAAAAUAUUUCUGCACCCCAUUAAAAACUCUGUGAUAUGCAUAUUAGGAUCCUCAUGAGCUAAUCCAUGAAAAGUAGGCAAAAUCUCCAACAUGUUAUGUCUAAUUUCGAACGCGUUGCCUUCCUCGUCGACAUAUACAAUGCAACUUGGUAACUCAUUAGCACGGGCUGCUAAUGUAUCCCUCAAUGGACGCCCAGCAGCUGGUAUGGCGAAUGCCAUGGUAUCUUCGCUGUCCAAAAACCUAGAAAACAGAUUUUUCAAAAAAGUGCCCUCCAACGAGGGUUCCCACGCUAAAAUCUGCUCCCUGCGCCUGCCUCGUAAAAUUCGUUGCGGCUCUGGGUUGAAUUCUACUAACUGCUAUCUUUGAGAUCUGGUGCAGACCACGAACUAGAUCUGCCCAGGUUGCGACCUGCGUAAAAAAAAUGAAAAUUAACCUUUUUUUUAUUUUUUAUUUUUUUAAUAUAAUUAUUUACAGCAAUAAUUAACAAAGAAUUAUGAUUAACACAAAUUGUUAAAACAAUCCCCGCCGACGGCGCCAAUUUCUUGAUAGGAAUUUUACCACCUACAAAAGUAGGGAUAAAAACACUAAAAAUACUUGCAAGAGUACAAGGUUGUUGUAGUAUAAACGGCUCAAGUAAGGUCGUUUUCCGCUGGGAUUGUUAAAAAUAAAUUAUGCAAAACGCUAAAACUUAGUUAAUUAUCUGAAAUAAAGAUUGGAAGAGAUUGAUUUUGAAUUUAAAAAUAAUAAAAACGAAUUUUAAUAAAAAUAAUGUAGGAAAAAUACUAAUGACCAAUUAGAAAAGAAACGAGUCAAAGACAAAAGGUUUUAACAAACAUAUUUGGAAAAGCACUAGGGUUCCACCAUCCCCUUAACGUUCCUAUGUAGAUUUACCAAUUACCUAUGAAUCAUUCAUGCAACUUUGAAGGUUAGGUUUUCCUCAUGCAUAUUCUACUUGUGGCAUUCAAGCUAGAAUAUAUAUUAAACAUGCAAUCCAUCUGUGGCAUUCAGAUAAAAUAUAAACAUGCAUAACUCAUUACGCUUUAUGAAAACCCUUUGAAAACCAUGCAACCCCCACGACGUGACAUUCGCCCUAGGUGAAUUUACAACUAUCAAUCACAAGAAGCAAUACUCAAUUCCCCGGUGGCAUUCCGAUAGAAUUGCAUCCAAUUACUUAUCUAAACAUCCUAAUGGUCGCGAAUCAUUAAGACACAAAGACAGUUUAAAGCACAGUGAUUAAUAAUUCAAAAUAUGCAUGCAUAAUAUCAUAAGCAAUUAAAUAAAAAACUACAUAUUCAUGCUAAGGAUCAAGGUUUCACCCUAGCAAAAGAAAAUUAGCUACGCAUACUCAUAAUUAAAAUCAACAUAAUUAUAUUAAACUAUGAAAAGAAUGAAAACACCUUAAAGUAUAAUUCUUGAAAUCUCUAAGCUUUUUCCAAAGUCUUCUCCCAAAAGUUGAAUAUGUUCCCCCUGAAACCCUAGGUCUGCCAAAAGGCUUAUUUAUACUACUCUCAAUAAAAUCCUCCUAGUAAAAGGUCUUAGAAUAAAACUAGGAAACCUAAUAACUUAGAAUAAAAUAGGAAACAUAAUCCUAAAUUAACUUGGUAAAUUCGCCUAAAAAUAUGCACAGCCACGUUUUGGACCCAAAUCAGCUCCAAAACUGACCCAAACUAGCUGGACAUAAGGCUUGGACUAUUCUGAACACUUCUCCAGAAGGCCACGAACCCAUCUGAGGUCGUCUUGGGCUCCAAAAAUGCAUUUUAAGCCCAGAAACGUUAAUUUCCAGCAACGCGCACUGCUUCUUCAUUAAAUCGCCAGAAAAUAACCGCUUGGUAGAAAUUGCUGAAAUUUUGACAUGAACAAGCUAAGGAACACACGAA
rnacentral:lncRNA from 1 species